rnacentral:rRNA from 1 species
AACGAACGCUGGCGGCAUGCCUAACACAUGCAAGUCGAACGAGACCUUCGGGUCUUGUGGCGCACGGCUGCGUAACGCGUGGGAACCUGCCCUUAGGUUCGGAAUAACUCCCCGAAAGGGGUGCUAAUACCGGAUAAUGUCUUCGGACCAAAGAUUUAUUGCGUUUGGAUGGGCCCGCGUUGGAUUCGCUAGUUGGUAGGGUAAUAGCCUACCAAGGCGACGAUGCAGAGCUGGUCUGUGAGGAUGAUCAGCCACACUUGGACUGAGACACGGCCCAGACUCGUACGGGAGGGAGGAGUGGGGAAUAUUGGACAAUGGGCGAAAGCCUGAUCCAGCAAUGCCGCGUGAGUGAUGAAGGCCUUAGGGUUGUAAAGCUCUUUUACCCGGGAUGAUAAUGACAGUACCGGGAGAAUAAGCUCCGGCUAACUCCGUG